AUUUCUGUCUGUGAUCACCUCCCCCUCAGUAUCUUUGGAGCAUUUCUCACUCCAUGCCUCACAUCUGCCUGACUCUUUCCCAAGCUAGCAAGGAAACAUCACAUCUGUUCUCAUGCUGAAGACUUUCCCACAGUGGGCAGACUGGCUGGAUCCUUCUCUUCUGCUCAGACCCCAAUUUCUCCAAGACACCCCAACAGCACAGAGAAACCUCUGCAAAUACUGAAUUUGGCUGAUGGGCUCAAAUGUUUUUAAGGGAGGUCUGCGAGGUAAACAAUCCUACAAUUAUGUAACUUUCAUUUGUGUAGGAAACUAGGCUGAAAAAUAAUUAGAAGCCUGAUUAGAAGAAAUGAUUAAUCAGGAAAGAUGAUCACCAUGGUAUUUGUUAUUAUGAGGCUGGGUGGAGAAUGGAUUGAGAGCAGGCCUGAGAAGGAUUUGAGGGUGCUGGCUGAUGAAAAACUCAACAUGAGCAAAGUGUGCCUGGAGCCCAGAACGGCUUUGAUACUGAGUACCUGAGGAUUCAUGUUGGGAUGAAUAAAGUGUGGCGGGUAAGAAUAAAGAGAAUGUGACUGAUUUCAGAUAAAAAGCAGACAAGAACUGGGCAUUUUAAAGGUUGUUCCUUGCUGUCUUUGCUGAGAAGUGCCUAAAUGUUAUGGAACAGAAAGAAGAGACUGAAGAACCAGCUGCACAGUGGAGACGAUUUUAUUACAGCUUCCCUUAACGUAUUUGCAAUUGGCCAGAAAAGGGGCACGCAGACUCCUGGGUCAGAUGGAGCUGAGCAUCACCAUGUUUGAUUUGGAGGAGAAGAGGAAGCAGGGAGCACAGACACGAACAGCCUGAACUGGCAAAGAAGGGGAACCCAGUUAUCAGGAGAGGGAGGAACUGGAAGGGAAUUACAGAGCUCAUGGCAUGGAAAUGCAAAGAAUGAAAAGCGCAUGCUGUUCCUCCACUGAGGGAGAAAGAUCCUUCAAAAAGGGCAAGUGUAACAAUGAGGGCAUGUUUGGGAAUUUUAAUCUUAUAAAUAAUGUUUUUUAUCAACAAUCAGGCUAACAAAAUUUUUGCAUGCUCGAAAAUAACACAGGUUUUACAUAAUCACAACCCACAUCUGCAUUUUUCCUCUUUGAAAUAUCUUUAAGACUGUUAUUCUCCCUGAUUUUAGCAAACUUUUUUUUUUUUUUUUUUUUAGAGGAAGUUUUAGGAUGUUUAUCUUUCUUCUUUAAUUUCAAACUCAAACACUUAGCAAUAGAAGGGAAUAUCUUGACACCAUUGCUUAUAGGAAUUGUCCACAUGUGCUUCUGCCUUUUCAGUUCUAUUGAACAUUAAUUCAUCUGGGUAAAAGUGAUAGAAGCCUUUGUUUUAAAUUAUAUUCUUUCUCUCAGCUGAAUGUUGUACUCUCUCUACCAAUGACUGAUAACUGCGCACUUUAAGAAGUUGUUUAAAAAUAUGCAUACCAUUACAGGUGGUUUCUUAAGUCACUUAUGUUUAAUUAAAGAUAUUUGAACACAGAGGCCUGGAUUCAGGUAACCUACUUGAGGUGCCUGAGUUAGGAUUGUAGCUGCAGUACGUUCCCUUUCUAAUUACUGGAGAAAUAGGCACCACCAGGAGUAAUUCAGUCUGCUUCAGCACCUGGAUUCCCUGCACAGCCUGAAUUGCUUUCUGGAGAUACCUAUCUUUGCACUGACUGAUGGAUGAAAGCAAAAGCAAUCAUAAUUGUGACUGUGCUGCCUCAAUGUGGCAUGAAUCCAGAUCACUGUGACCAAGACUUUUAGAUUGCUAAUUACAUUCUGAGUAUCUAGUUUUGCUGUCUUGGAGGAGGCUGACUUUCUUUGCUUUCAGCUUCUUUCAGAAUAUCCCAAAUUGGGCAUUGGUCAUUAUGGAAAACUUGGCUUAUGCUUUUACCCAUGACACUUUUUGAAUCCUGAGUCCCUUUAAACAGAUAGAGACAACACUUAUAGAUGGCUGCGCAAUAAAUGAGAGAAUAAUGCUCUCCUCCAUCAUGGAGGCAGGUUACAAAGAGAUGUCAAGUCACCACCAGACCCCUGUUCUGGACAUCUCUAUUUUGUUGCUUGGCUCUAGCAUAUGACAAUAGUCAAUGCUACUUUUUAAUCCACCCGAAAAAAAGCAAACUACAGCAGUCAGCACUAAAAGCACUGUGUUGGUGACUGUCUGCCAUGUGACAGUCAGAACUGUUCAUGCCCUGAUUCAUGCUGGUGGCCUUCUAUGGUCUUCUUUACUACCUGUAGCAGCCCCAAAGGACUUUUGUCUGUUUUAUGAAAGCUUUCCGUCCUGAGACACAAGUACACCCUGGCACGAUACAGGUUGCUGCACCAUUUCUCCUGUAUUUAUCCAGACC